UCUCAGGCCAGCUGUACCCCUAAGCUGCAGGUCCCAGCUCUUCUCAAGGUGACUCUGCAUUUGACUGUCUCCUUCCAGAUUCUGGUAAGAGACUAGAAGAAUAAAGGCAGGACCUGCCCGUGUGCCAGAUCUGCACAUCUGGACAGAUGAGGACAGAUGCGGAGGAGGCGGGCAGGGAUUCUCUGGAAGGCUAAGGAUGCUGUUUGCUCCUUGGGCAGCAGAAGCUUCAUUGUGUGGAAUUGUGUGGCCGCACCAUGAUUUUAUUAACCAGUCUCCUGUUGGUGGACAUUCAAAUUGUUUCCAGAUCUGAACAAGGAAACAUGGCAUCUUGCUACUGUGAGCUGAAGACAAAGCCUACAAAGGAAAGAGCACGAAGCCAAGAGAAUGGGAGAGAAAUAGAGCCACAGUCUGAUGCCACCGUGAAUAUCCGAAUCAAACUGCACCUGAAGGCCACCCUACCACUGAUUUUUUCAUUUAAUGAGCCAAUAAAUUCUCUUUAUCAUUUAAGUCAA